CUGUAUCUCGCAGUGAAUGGAAGGCAUGCAACUAAAGAUAGAUUGGUGAAAUGGCCGGGGUAUAAUCCAGUCCCCUACAUGUCCUCUAUGUCAGCUGGUGAAUGAGGAUCUAGAUCAUCUGUUUUUCUAGUGUUUAUAUGCUACAAAGGUUUGAAAUAGUGUACUAAAUUGACAAGGGGUUAGGAGAGGCAGUAUGAACUGGACAGAUGAG
rnacentral:lncRNA from 1 species